CGUGGAAUAGGCUAAUAUAGGUCGUUGGGUUCAUAGCCUAAAGGUGUGUUUGUACUUUCGCGG
rnacentral:tRNA from 1 species